AGAGUUUGAUCAUGGCUCAGGAUGAACGUUGGCGGCAUGCCUAACACAUGCAAGUCGAACGGAGAAGCCCUUCGGGGCGGAUCAGUGGCGAACGGGUGCGUAACACGUAGGUGACCUGCCGCACAGUGGGGAAUAACCAGCGGAAACGCUGGCUAAUACCGCAUACGCUUGAGGAUGUUUGAGUUCCUCAAGGAAAGCUUUAGUGCUGUGCGAGGGGCCUGCGGCCUAUCAGGUAGUUGGUGAGGUAACGGCUCACCAGGCCGACGACGGGUAGCUGACCUGAGAGGGUGGUCAGCCACAGGGGAACUGAGACACGGUCCCCACUCCUACGGGAGGCAGCAGUGAGGAAUAUUGGGCAAUGGGGGCAACCCUGACCCAGCAAUGCCGCGUGCGGGAGGACGCCCUUCGGGGUGUAAACCGCUUUUGUGCGUGAGGAGCAAGGACCGUAGCGCACGAACAAGUCACGGCUAACUACGUGCCAGCAGCCGCGGUAAUACGUAGGUGGCGAACGUUAUCCGGAAUUACUGGGCGUAAAGGGUCCGUAGGCGGAGGAGCAGGUCGGAUGUGACAGCGCGCGGCUUAACUGCGCGUGGCCGUUCGAAACCGCUUUUCUUGAAUGGGGGCGAGGUCGGUAGAAUUCCCGGUGUAGUGGUGGAAUGCGUAGAGAUCGGGAGGAGCCUCGAACGCGAAGGCAGCCGGCUAGCCCCAGAUUGACGCUGAGGGACGAGAGCGUGGGGAGCGAACAGGAUUAGAUACCCUAGUAGUCC
rnacentral:rRNA from 1 species